CACGUAGGGCGCAAGCGUUGUCCGGAAUUAUUGGGCGUAAAGAGCUCGUAGGCGGUCUGUUGCGUCUGCUGUGAAAACUCGGGGCUUAACCCCGAGCCUGCAGUGGAUACGGGCAGACUAGAGGUAGGUAGGGGAGAAUGGAAUUCCCGGUGUAGCGGUGAAAUGCGCAGAUAUCAGGAGGAACACCAGCGGCGAAGGCGGCGCUCUGGGCCGGUACUGACGCUGAGGAGCGAAAGCGUGGGUAGCAAACAGG
rnacentral:rRNA from 1 species